UGUUUUGUUUUCUAAUUCCCAUAGCAAAAUGUUCUGAACCACAAUGAACUGUACAGUAAGAGCCAUUUACAUUCUAUAGGAACAAAGAUGUGUAAGUUGAAGUAAGUGAAGAAGAAAAUUGUUGCUUUUAGUCCUAAUUAUUCGUGUUAUUUGGCAUGUGUUUGUAGGAGGGUACAUGUGGAAAGAGUUCUGGUAGAACUUCUGGAAGAAGUUCAUGUCCCCUGCAGGACAUGAAGGAGUUCUUUCUCUUCAAGCCUUCUAAGGUAUAUGAAUAGAGGUAUGAAUUGCAUCUCCAGGACAGCUUCAGGCCAAGCCAGAGAGCACCAUGGAUGGAACUGCUUUUCAACAGGAUUUGGAUGUAUAAAGACAACAGCAGAAUUUGGAGCUACAUUUAUAAAGACAGGAAAAAAAAAUUAAAAAAAGAAAAAGGAAAAAAAGAUGUGCCAGGCAGUCGCUGAGGAAGAGGAGACUGCAAAGCUGUGCGCUGAGAGGAUGAAAUUAUUUCAACUUCCAGAUUCAUUAUGUUCAAUGGGUGGCAUAUUCACAGGUUUGUAGCUCUCUCAAGAUCAAUUAAUUUUCACUAUAAAACUUCACCACUUUUUCCCUCUU